CCGAGUUAUCAACUCCCAAACCCCUGUGAACAUACCUGAACGUUGCCUCGGCGGGACCGCCCCGGCGCCCAACUCGCGGCCCGGACCCAGGCGCCCGCCGGAGGACCCAAACUCUUGCUUUAAACAGUGGCAUACUCUCUGAGUCUCACAAACAAAAAAUGAAUCA
rnacentral:misc_RNA from 1 species